UACGGAGGGUGCAAGCGUUAUCCGGAUUCACUGGGUUUAAAGGGUGCGUAGGUGGGCAGGUAAGUCAGUGGUGAAAUCCCUGAGCUUAACUCAGAAACUGCCGUUGAUACUAUCUGUCUUGAAUAUCGUGGAGGUGAGCGGAAUAUGUCAUGUAGCGGUGAAAUGCUUAGAUAUGACAUAGAACACCAAUUGCGAAGGCAGCUCGCUACACGGUUAUUGACACUGAGGCACGAAAGCGUGGGGAUCAAACAGG
rnacentral:rRNA from 1 species